GACGAACGCUGGCGGCGUGCUUAACACAUGCAAGUCGAACGGAAAGGCCUCUUUCGGGGGGUACUCGAGUGGCGAACGGGUGAGUAACACGUGAGUAACCUGCCCUUGACUUUGGGAUAACUUCAGGAAACUGGGGCUAAUACCGGAUAGGAGCUCCUGCUGCAUGGUGGGGGUUGGAAAGUUUCGGCGGUUGGGGAUGGACUCGCGGCUUAUCAGCUUGUUGGUGGGGUAGUGGCUUACCAAGGCUUUGACGGGUAGCCGGCCUGGGAGGGUGACCGGCCACAUUGGGACUGAGAUACGGCCCAGACUCCUACGGGAAGCAGCAGUGGGGAAUAUUGCACAAUGGGUGGAAGCCUGAUGCAGCAACGCCGUGUGCGGGAUGACGGCCUUCGGGUUGUAAACCGCUUUCGCUCAUGACGAAGCUUUGUGUGACGGUAGUGGGUAAAGAAGCACCGGCUAACUACGUG
rnacentral:rRNA from 1 species